UUACUUCCGUGUCAGGGGAGAUACUGUGAUCAAGAAGGCGGUUCACCCAGGGCAAGGCUCGGCCAUUGCACUUCGGCUAUGCUGACCCCUGCAAAUUCCCCAAAUGUGGGAAUAUCGACUGCAUAAUUUCUGGUAGUGGGGGACUGCGUUCGCACUCUCCCCUG
ensembl:snRNA U1 U1 spliceosomal RNA